rnacentral:tRNA from 1 species
AGUUAAUGAGCUUGAGCAAGCAUGUAUUUUGAAAAUACAAGAUAAUAAAAUUUAUUAUUAACUU